rnacentral:lncRNA from 1 species
CUUUGUUGGUGAUGAUCUAAUAAUUAACUUGCCUUGAUAACAAGAAGUGCAAGAAAAUUCAUUAUUUAAAAGAAUCUUUAAAUUCAUUAAUGGAUGCCAAUUUGAGUUUUCUAUUAUCCGUCUUAUCAUAAUUGAUCCAGGAUGUCCAAUCGAUCAUGCCAAAGUACGAAAGUAUUGGAAUCAGUAACCUUUUGGUUUACGGUAGAAUNNN